GCCUCACACGUCAUACUUCAACUGACACAACGGUCUCGAUGGGUAAGAUUUCGUUACCAUAUACAGUAAAUAUUGGUUCAAGAGGGCAGUUUGAUAACUCAGUCGAGGUUUGUAAAUGGGGUUUCUGUUCCUGCAGUCUUUCAGGGGUGCUGGCGCGUAUGACGAUGCGGACAUGAACAGCAUACUACAGUAUACCGCCACCUACUGUACUGUAGUACAAUAACGUCUUUUAAACAUCUAAACAUGUCCUCCAAAAAGGUUUCCUGUGCUGUUUUGCUCCAUUUUACUGAACAAAAUAAGGCUGAGGUAGCACCAUCCUUGUGGUUAGAGUGAAAGAAUGUGGGUAUUGAGACCAAAAUAAACAAUGUGCCAUUCUGGACAAACAGCUGACGACAAUAUGCAGUCAGAGUAGCCCAUUUUCUCACACAGACCUGAGGAUAAGAUUUCCAGUUUGAAAGUGAAGAAAAUGAAUCAUUAUUAACAGCAAAUAGGAGUAUUUCUCAGCUGAAAAGCCAGGUGAAACUAUAAGGUCACUAUGAUUCACUUUCAUAUUAUCAUUCUUUUCAGAUUUUUUUCCCUGUGUUUUUUUUGUUAGAUGAGGAGCAACCAGUAAGAAAAAGCAAAAAGAUGUUUUGAUGUUGCCUGAGGCACCUUAUUUUCCAUUUCAUGCACAAUCACAAAUGCAGCACAUCAAUCAAUUUCUUCCAACCAGCGAAUCAAGAAAUCUUGGAGUGGAGAAUCAUUUUGAAAGUAGACCAAAUCCAGGACAACAUCACAACAGUGGUCGGAAAAAUGCAGCAAGCCAAGCUGACUUUCAAAAAAUGAUUCGUUAUCUGUUUCUUCAGAGGGGAGGCAGUUUGGGAGAUGGGAAUUAGGAGGAUGCUACAGUUACACAGGGCAAAUUUCAGCAGCUCAGUUUCAAACUUGCAACUAACAUUGAGUUAAACUGGUCAGGGUGGAAGACCAGCUGACGUACCAGUUUUGCCAGGUUAAAGGACCAGCUUAAACCAGCUAAGACAGCCAACCAACUUAGCCAAGGUGGUAUAUGCUGGUGGGUCAGCUGGUCUUCCCGCCUGACCAGCUACAAAGUGUCCAAAACCUCUGUAAAACAAUCCUGCUACACCAGCCUGACCAGCUGAAACCAUACUGAGUUAGAAGACCACGGAAAUAUUUGACAUCGGAGUCCAGCAGACAGCCAGAGACACGCACACACACGCAGCUGAAGCGCGUUUGACUGACGCGUACGGGAGAUCCGGCACGCGCACGGGAGCUCGCGCACGCUCACACAAACACGGAGCACAGGAUAAUUACAACUGUUUAAUUAAAAUAAAAGAACUUUGUGGUAUACAAUGUUUAGCGUGUCUGAUUUCAUUGGUUAGCAAGGAAAUAAAACGACGUGCUGAGGACUUUAGGCGAACGUCCCCUAAAAGUCCCGAAAGUCCGCUGACCGUCCCGCGAACGUCCUCGCAAAAGUCCGGAGGACGUCCUCGCGGAAGUCCGCUCGACGUAACGGGAACCAUACACGAUGACGUUCGGGGGACGUUCGCCUAAAGUGCUUAGCAUGUUAUUUAGCUUACAAAAAAGGUCCCCAUGACGUCCCCUAAAAGUCAAUAAAGUCCCCAAAGCGUCAUUUUGAACGUCCGGAAGACGUUUUUGCGGACGUUCGCAGGACGUCAAAAGAACUCUACACGAUAACGUCCGGGGGACGUUCGCAGAUGCCAUUUAGGGGACGUCCUGGGGACCUUUUUUUGUUU